rnacentral:rRNA from 1 species
CACAAGCGGUGGAGUAUGUGGUUUAAUUCGAUGCAACGCGAAGAACCUUACCUGGUCUUGACAUCCCGGAGACCCUUAGGAAACUAGGGGGUGCUUCCAUCUGGAAGAAUCUGGAGACAGGUGCUGCAUGGCUGUCGUCAGCUCGUGUCGUGAGAUGUUGGGUUAAGUCCCGCAACGAGCGCAACCCUUGCCUUUAGUUGCCAGCAGUUCGGCUGGGCACUCUAAAGGGACUGCCGGGUGUUAAACCGGAGGAAGGUGGGGAUGACGUCAAGUCCUCAUGGCCUUUAUGACCAGGGCUACACACGUACUACAAUGGCCGAUACAAAGGGCAGCGACACUGCGAGGUGAAGCCAAUCCCGUAAAAUCGGUCUCAGUCCGGAUUGGAGUCUGCAACUCGACUCCAUGAAGUUGGAAUCGCUAGUAAUCGUGGAUCAGCAUGCCACGGUGAAUACGUUCCCGGGCCUU